ensembl:lincRNA
AUGGAGAGGCUACAGUGGGUGUGCAAAGGCAGUAUCAAACCCAGAGGUACCAAAGGACAGAGAAUACAGUGGGAGAACAAAGAAGUAUGUUGGACAGUGAGUUCUGUCAAUGGAUUACUGAAAGCAAUUUUGCAACAUAGGGAUCAAAGACUGCAAACUGUUUCUGCUUUAUUAAUAUUUGGUGAAUUAAACACUGAGGGAAAUGAAUUGGAGAAUAUUAAAAAAGGCAUGAAUCUAAAUUUUGUAUUCUGGUUAGGUGGAAUUUAUCCUUUUGGCAAAGAAUACUAUGUAUCUGCUAUUUGGACUGACUAGUUUUUUUUCUGUUAAACACUGAUCAAUAAAAUCAAUAAAAAUUAUAAAUAUGGUAAGUUGUUAUUGCUCAUUGUCUUGAUAAAUAAAAAUUAACUGAUGUCUGAUGGUAAUUUAUAAAUUAAGUCUCAAUUUAUUCAACAAAUAAUUCCUGAUGGACUUAAAAUUAGGAUUUUAAAAGGAAACAAACCCUAGUUCAAACCAAUUAUUCAUUAAGUCUGUUUUUUUAGUUGUGUUGGGUUUCCUGGUUUCUUAAUUUUCCAUUUAGUGUUUAGGAUCUCAGUGCUGACUUUCUCCUUGCAUUUCUUUAGAAGCUUCAUUUUGUAUAGCCAACAUUUAUUUCUAUACUUCAGACCAAACAGAUUCCUUCCAGCGAACGUUUCUACUCCCCUUCCACUGCCCCCAAACUUCCUUUAGAUCCUCCAGUGAAGGCAAUGGUCUCUAAAUUUAUAGCUACUGAAAAAGGUAACUGCCAAACAAGAACAACACACUUAGUGAUUCAUUUUGAAGUGCUUUUAGAGGAUGUCAAGAUAAAUGAGUUGGAUGACAUAAACAAACAAAGAAAUAUUAACAGAUCAAGAAGUCAUAAUUGAAACACAGGGGUGAAUAUAUUGAUCUGAUAAAAAAUGGUUUAAUCUUCUCAUAAAUGAAUCGCUUUUAUGCUCAAAUUUGGCACAAUUGCAUUCUAUAACCUUUAAAAACAUCCUCAGUGACAUGGCUGUUUAAAAUGUUUAUUUCUUCAGACUUAUAUGUGUUAUAAUAGCCUCUGUGUAUUGCGCCGUCACUCUUUGCUGAGAAUUGUGUUAGCAUUAAAAGGUUAUUUUACUCAGUCCUUAUAAAAGCCCUAUGUAAUAGGUAUUGCUAAUCUCAUUUUACCUAUUAAAAAAAGUGCUUCCAAGAGGUUAAGUAAAUUGCUUGAUUCUACAUAACUAAUAAACGUCAAAGCUGGCAUUCAGAGCCAAGUCUACAGUACUCCAAAGUCCAUAGCUACUGCCUUAACAUAAUAAUCCAAUAAAUUAAUUUCCAAAUAUCAAAUUGAAAGUAUGCUAAGAAUUAAGACUUCUUUUCUUGAAAGUUGUUCCCACAUCUUGUGAUAGGUUAUUGUGAAUUGAUUUAGGAUCAUAGAAUCUCAGGGGACCCUAUGUCUAACCUUCUGCAUAACUCAGGAAUCUUGCCUACAAUAUUGGUGAUAGACUUGUUCCUUCUUGUAAAUGUUUCUAAGAGCAAACAAUGUCCUUCUCUUAGGGCACAUGUGCAUCUCUAUUAAUUAUGGACCAUUGUAAUUUUAUCUAUAUUUUUUAUUCACUAUAUUGAGCAGAUAUUUGCCUCUAUUAAUAUCCAACAUUGAUUCUAAGCCUGCAGUAACCAGAAUAAGCCAUAAAUAUCUCUAAGGAAAGUGUGAGGCUGAAGAAGAAGCAAGCAAAACUAAAGUUUUGUAUAUAGGUAAAUUCAUGAGAAUAUUUAUUCUUGAGUGGUUGGGAAAUUGAUUUUAUUUUCUUGUCUAAAAAUUUAUAAUCUAGAAUCCUAUCAAGGGUACAUUAUUUUAAUGCAAAAGCAUUGUAGCAACAGAAUCAUGUAAUAGAAUGAUAAUCCUACAGAAAAUGUGAAUUGUUCCCAGUCAGAUGUAGCCAAGGUUAUCCAGUGAAGAAAUAAUUUUAAAUCAGAUGCAGACAUACCCAACUUAAAAAAAAAAAAUAAUGUUUUGAAACAGUCCAUGUGACAUUGGAGAAUAUAAACAAUAAAAGAGACAUUUCUGUCACAGACACUGUUUGAUGGAAAUGAUAUUUUUGAA